GUCGAACGCUGGCGGCGUGCUUAACACAUGCAAGUCGAACGGAAGGGCCCUGCUUUGGAGGGGGGCUCGAGUGGCGAACGGGUGAGUAACACGUGAGUAACCUGCCCGUGACGGGGGGAUAACUUCAGAAAACUGGGGCUAAUACCGGAUAGGAGCUCCUGCGGCAUGGGGGGGGUUGGAAAGUUUCGGCGGUUGGGGAUGGACUCGUGGCUUAUCAGCUUGUUGGUGGGGUAGAGGCCUACCAAGGCUACGAUGGGUAGCUGGUCUGAGAGGGCGACCAGCCACACUGGGACUGAGACACGGCCCAGACUCCUGCGGGAGGCAGCAGUGGGGAAUUUUGGACAAUGGGCGAAAGCCUGAUCCAGCAAUGCCGCGUGUGUGAAGAAGGCCUUCGGGUUGUAAAGCACUUUUGUCCGGAAAGAAAUCCUUGGCCCUAAUACGGUCGGGGGAUGACGGUACCGGAAGAAUAAGCACCGGCUAACUACGUG
rnacentral:rRNA from 1 species